UACAGAGGUGGCAAGCGUUGUCCGGAAUUACUGGGCGUAAAGAGCUCGUAGGUGGUUUGUCGCGUUGUUCGUGAAAACUCACAGCUCAACUGUGGGCGUGCGGGCGAUACGGGCAGACUGGAGUACUGCAGGGGAGACUGGAAUUCCUGGUGUAGCGGUGGAAUGCGCAGAUAUCAGGAGGAACACCGGUGGCGAAGGCGGGACUCUGGGCCGUGACUGACGCUGAGACGCGAAAGCGUGGGGAGCAAACAGG
rnacentral:rRNA from 1 species